CUGUCGCGGCCUCCUGUCACCACCUCCCCGUCGAAGCGUUCGUCCACGCCCACCGCCCGCCGACCCCGCACUCCCACCGGUCGGCCCGAGCUCUUCUCCCUUUCCUCGUUACUUUCCCUCUGACCCGAAGUUCUCUCUAUCCCUCCACCAUCUGCAGGAGCUGGCCAUGGAGGUCGUUGACCCUACCACUGAUCGAGCUCCUGCCGUCGCGCGCGCGACCCUAUGGAUCCGGUCGAGGUCGAGCAGCCACCGCCGGAUCUGAUGCGCGUGACCCCGCCGGACCUCCCUGCAUCGCCCCUUCGUGCGCGCCGCCGGCUCUGCCUCGCCCAGCCACAACGCCGGCCACCCAGGAGAAGACGAAGAUUCGUUUUCUUUUUUACAAAUUUUUGUAAGGUUCUUGCAAGAAACCAGGACUAAUUUCUUCUUUCUUUGUAUGCGGGGGUCUUUUAUGUAAAGUGUAACCACCACAUAUAUGAAUAUAUAUAUAU
rnacentral:lncRNA from 1 species